GACGAACGCUGGCGGCGUGCUUAACACAUGCAAGUCGAACGGAAAGGCCCUGCGUUUGUGGGGUUCUCGAUUGGCGAACGGGGGAGUAACACGUGAGUAACCUGCCCUUGACUUUGUGAUAACUUCAGGAAACUGGGCUAAUACCGGAUAGGAGUUCCUUCUGCAUGGUGGGGGAUGGAAAGUUUCGGCGGUUGGGGAUGGACUCGAGGCUUAUCAGCUUGUUGGUGGGGUAGUGGCUUACCAAGGCUUUGACGGGUAGCCGGCCUGAGAGGGUGACCGGGCCCCUGGGGCCUGCGAUACGGCCCAGAAUCCUAUGUGAGGCAGCAGUGGGGAAUAUUGCACAAUGGGCGGACGCCUGAUGCAGAGACGCCGCGUGCGGGAUGCCGGCCUUCGGGUUGUAAACCGCUUUCGCCUGUGACGAAGCGUGAGUGACGGUAAUGGGUAAAGAAGCACCGGCUAACUACGUG
rnacentral:rRNA from 1 species